UGAGGGAAUAUUGGGUCAAUGGGCGCAGGCCUGAACCAGCCAAGUCGCGUGAGGGAAGACGGUCCUACGGAUUGUAAACCUCUUUUGUCGGGGAGUAACGUGCGGGACGGGUCCCGUAUUGAGAGUACCCGAAGAAAAAGCAUCGGCUAACUCCGUGCCAGCAGCCGCGGUAAUACGGAGGAUGCGAGCGUUAUCCGGAUUUAUUGGGUUUAAAGGGUGCGCAGGCGGCGCGCCAAGUCAGCGGUCAAAGUUCCGGGCUCAACCCGGUGUCGCCGUUGAAACUGGCGUGCUCGAGUUCACACAGGGAUGCCGGAAUUCAUGGUGUAGCGGUGAAAUGCUCAGAUAUCAUGAAGAACCCCGAUCGCGAAGGCAGGCAUCCGGGGUGUUACUGACGCUGAGGCUCGAAAGUGCGGGUAUCAAACAGGAUUAGAUACCCUGGUAGU
rnacentral:rRNA from 1 species